UACGUAGGGGGCCAGCGUUGUUCGGAAUUACUGGGUGUAAAGGGUUCGUAGGCGGUGUGGCAAGUUGGGAGUGAAAUCUCUGGGCUCAACCCAGAGACGGCUUCCAAAACUGCCGUGCUUGAGUGUGGGAGAGGCUCGUGGAAUUGCAGGUGUAGCGGUGAAAUGCGUAGAUAUCUGCAGGAACACCCGUGGCGAAAGCGGCGAGCUGGACCACUACUGACGCUGAAGAACGAAAGCUAGGGGAGCAAACGGG
rnacentral:rRNA from 1 species